rnacentral:rRNA from 1 species
CCUACGGGAGGCAGCAGUGGGGAAUAUUGCACAAUGGGCGAAAGCCUGAUGCAGCGACGCCGCGUGAGCGAUGAAGGCCUUCGGGUCGUAAAGCUCUGUCCUCAAGGAAGAUAAUUACGGUAGUUGAGCAGCAAUCCCUGGCAAACUCCGUCCCAGCAGCCACGGUCUUACGCGGGGGGCUACGGCUAUCCGGUAUUACUGGGGGAAACGGUUACGUAGGUGGUUUCUAAGGUCAGGGGGAAAGGGCUACGGCUCAAGCGGAGUAAGCCUUUGAAACUGGGGAACUGGAGUGCAGGAGAGGAGAGUGGAAUUCCUGGUGUAGCGGUGAAAUGCGUAGAUAUUAGGAGGAACACCAGUGGCGAAGGCGACUCUCUGGACUGUAACUGACACUGAGGAACGAAAGCGUGGGGAGCAAACAGGAUUAGAUACCCGAGUAGUC